UCAUGUACCUAUUUUUUAUUAUUUAUCUUUUUCAAUAUGUAAAUUGUAUUCUUCGUAACAUUUGAUUUGUUAGAAAUCGAUUUUGAAUCGGUUUCAUUUCAAGCAGACGCCAAGCAUCUUGUAAUAGCGUGGUCUGUGCUUUGUGAUUGGGAUGAUUGCAGUGUUACUGCUGGAAUGAGCAAUUUUAGAUAGCGUCAUGAUGGGGUGCCCUGUUAGCGUCAUGGUUGGAGUGCCCUGUGUUAGCGUCUUGAUUGCCGUGCCCUGUGUUAGCGUCAUGAUUAGCGUGCCCUGUGUUAACACGAUAUGUUUUAUUUAUUCGUGUGCUGUGAUUUCAACUCCAGCAUUGGUCAGAGGAGACUCGCAAGCAGCAAGGAAAGUAGGCUCCUCUUCAUCAGCAGUUUGACAAAGGAGUCCACAGGGAGAUUACUUGGUAUGUGGCGGAAGUUAUGUGAUGAUACCGGCAAAAUUCCUUUUCUUGGUCCCGUCAACAGGUAAUAAUGGCGGUCUCUACAGAAAAGAUGAUGUGUAUAGGUCUACUUGGUUAUCUAUAACCAGUCACAAAAAGUAACAUUGCAUAAUGAUGAAUAAAAGAAAUAGUACUGUUGUUGUUGAUAAAUAAAGUAUUUAUUAUCAAUUUAAA